CCUUACUUAUUACCAUUAUUAAAGUUACCAUUAUUUGGUUGUUUAUUUUCUGCUAUACUAAUAGAAAUUUGAUAAAAAAAAGUUGGCAAUGGCCAACAGAAAUACAUAACAGAUGCUUUUCAUUUGCUAAAAACAACACUCUAAUUUUAAAGUUGCAAUUUGAUGUGUUGAUGGAUCUCUAUGGUACAUCUGGAACAUAUGUGCAAGAUAGAAAACCUGUGGACAAGGAGCGAUACUUUGUGUUGUUGUAGUUGGCAUAUGGUUUAUCUGAGUAAUUAGUGUUGGCUCAAAAGGUUUUAGUAUAAGGGCAGUGUACCAUACAUUUGCCAUUUUUGAAUUCCAUAUAUUUUUAUGAAAAACACACUGAUAUAAGUUCUGAAUAGACGUAAAGAGAUGUUCUUACACUAUUGUUAGAUUAAGCUAUUGGUCUAUAUGACAAUUGUCAUGCUAUUUCUGGAAAUUACUGCUGCUAUAGUAACCACUUUUGUCUAAUGCUGAUCUAUCAAUUGUUCCUCUGCAACUAGCUUUUACAAUUUCAACAUCCUUUCUCUUAAUAUUUGCCAAAAUUUCUUCCACUUCUCUUCAUCUUCAUUUUUUUUGUUCUUUCUAAAUCUCUGUGUUAAUUUGAGUUAUGUUGUAUCAGUUUGUUAACAUCGGAAAGUUUGAUGGGUAUAUAUUUGUUUUCUUCUUCUUCUUCUAAUUAUUUUUUACUCAAUUAAGGUUCAAACUACCAUGUUUUGCAUUCUGGUUCUCUUGAUUGUUUUUUCUCCAAAGGUGCAUGGACAAGAUGGUCACUUUAAAGUUUAAGGGAUGUUUAUGGUAUUACGAGUAAAUGUGUCAGAAAGACAAGUUACAGAUGUACUGAUCUAGCUGUGAGGUAUAGGAAUAGUGAGCUUAGGUUCCUGAGUCAUUUAGAAAUUUUUUAAACACUCGCAAAAGCAGAGUGGAAGAGUCUUUUAGCCAUGCGAAUUUACAUGCAAAAUUGAUCAUAAAAUACUGAAGAACUGGCAAGUUAUUGAAGCUCAAUAAUGAAUUCGUAGAAACUUGAAUGGUUGCCUAAUAAGAAGGCGGGUCUGGUGGGAUACAUUUUUCUGUUGGACUGGAAUAAGCCACUAGGUCAGCAAUGUUUUUUCUUUACCCUUUUCUAUAUUUGAAGGUGUAGCUGGCCUCUAAAAUGUUGCAUAUUUGGAAACCAAGGGAUUACUCUUUGCUGCUCUCUGUUUCAAGAAUUGGCUGAUUUAGAUACGUACAAUUUAGCCCAUUAAUGAUACAUUAAUGUUCCUAGGAAGAGCUGUAGAGUAGAUAGUAAGUUUUAUGUUGUAUGCUUGUGCAGUGCAUAUAGAAAACUAACUUCUUUCAUUGCUUGAACAACUAGAGACAUUAAAGACUUAUAAUUUAGAUCCCAAAAUGAGAGAUUUGCUGAAUAUGCUUCCUUUAUUAGUUUCAAGUUCUAAUAUUUGAAUUCCCACAUCGGUAAGGAUAUGGACAUACCAAACAGAGAUAGCCAUGUAGUGAAUCAAAACCUUGGUCAGAAGUCCCUUAUGAAUGUUGAUUCUCGGAUGGAUCUUCCAGCUGUUGGUAAAUCUGACUGCUUAUUCGACAAUCUUUAAGUUAUAUUGAUAUAUACCAGUGCCUGAUGAUUUUGAGUUUGUUCAAAUUUCAGUUUUGGGGGUUGAAAUAGAACAUAAGUUGGUCGUGCCUUGAUGUGGGAUGAUAUCAAAUCAUACAAACAAAAACCAUGCACAAACUAAGUCCUGCACAUUUAAGUAACAGGAUUCUAUUACUCAAGAGGUUUUGCCAACAAGUUUUUGGAGCACAUCUUUUUGCCAAUGCACUGUCAAGCUACUAUUUUUUUGCCGUAAGACUGCCUUUUUGAAAAGCUACAUUACAACCAUAUGUGACACCUCCUGCUUUAAAAAGGUAUUUUGUCAACCAUGGCGUUGCACAACUACAACAUGCAGGAUUACUACUAAGAAAAUACCUUUUCUGUAAAUGUGUAGUAUAAAUGAUGUAUAUAUGACAGUGCAAUCAUCAAUGUAAUAGACAAAUGUAUAUAUGCAUAAACAGUGCAAACUUAUUUUAGUUGUCUUAUACUAUCUUACCUCAUUACUUACAAUAAUCUUCUUACUGUUGGAUAUUUUAAAUCAUCCCUAAAUAUUGUCAAAGUGAACGAUUUUUACGUUGGUUUUGGGAAGAGCAUAAAUUGAUCAAA